rnacentral:miRNA from 1 species
UCUGUGUGUGUGUGUGUGUGUGUGUGUGUGUGUAGAUAGUUAGACAGAGAUAGAUAUAUAUACACACAAACAUAUACA